GUUCUUGAGUUUUCACGACGUGAUCUGAGACAAUGGAGAGCGGGGCAGGGAAACAGAUAAAACUUUGAAAACAACAGAAUUUCAUCUUCCUUCCAAAUAAAACCACAGGUUUAACGGAUGUAAUGACAAAAGCUCUUUGCUCAUGGGGCACACACCCAAGUCGGAUAUGUUUCUCAGUGGGUUUUUCCAACAUUUGGAGCUCAAAUCUCCGGUGUUGUUUUAUGACGUGCCUUUCACUCAUCAGUUAUAAAUGCAGCAAAGCGAGCAUGGAGCACCAACCGAUCCGCAGAGCAUCACUCGCUCUAGGCAAGUCGUACCAGCACGAGGAGAGAAUUCCAAAGAGGAACCGUCUUAUCAGGACAGCUCGCUAUGAAUGCUUGCAUACCCUGUCUCUUCUUAGCCAUACUGUGCCAAAAUGGACUGGCUAUUCCCAUCUUGGUUCCAGACCUGGAACUUAUGAAUCAUUUGAUUAGAACAUCCAAUGCCAUAAAGGAACAAUACCAAGAAGUUUUGAAAUCGAGUGACCAAGAAACAAGUGCAGAUUACGCUAUGGACAUCAAGAAGAUGCUUCCCCAGCAGUUGGCCUGCACAAAGUUUCACUCGUGCAGCAAGGAGCUUGCAAAAAUACUGCACGUCUAUGAGCGGCACUUCAGGCUGUUCAAAAGCAAAGUGGACAUGGCGGAAUCCUUGGAAUCUCGCUUUGACACGUUUCUCGACGAUGUCAAUAAAACGACACAGCAGUUGCUUCCGGAUUGGAAUCCCACGUAUGAUUUACAAGACCAAGAAAUGUGGAAGGUUUAUCUCCAUGACACUUUCACAUCAAAGAAAACGAUGUACAACCUGCUGCUGCACUUCUCGCACGACAUCGAGUUCAACACGAGACUUUGUCAUCUUGUGCAAUGCAAACAGAAUGCACUCGAAGAAAGCAAAAAGUGAACAACAUAUUUCUUUAUUUAUUGAUUAACAUAUUUAUUUAUUAAUUUAUUAAUUAAUGCAAUUUACACUCAAAAAAAUUAUUUAAGAUAAUUUUAUAUUUAUGAAAUGUUGGACGAAUGCUAUUUAUUUUUAAUUAAAAUACAAAGCACGGUACUUGUUGCAAUCCUAAUAUAAAGAUAACAACCGUUUUUAUUUUUGAUAACUUAUGGUCAAAACAUUUGUUAAGACGAUUCAUGUUAUUAAUUAUAUUUAUGAAAUGUUGGACGAACGCUUUUUUUUUCAUUUUAAAAUAUACUUGAGAAAUAAAUCGAGCAUGGAUGGCUGGUUCACCCAUGCAACGUUGUUAUAACGGCUGUUUGUUUUUAUCAUUCAUCACAUGAUACAUGCAAGAGCUUCACUGCUCAAUUUACACCUCUGAAUGAACACGAAAACAGCAAAUACAUGCACACAGAGUUGCGAAAGUGAGAAACCACUUACACCAAAAGAAGGGUUGUGUAAUUUAUCCAAAACAGUUCAUGGUAGGGAAUGGCAGACCAUGGAAGAGGCAAUUUUGAGGUUACAAGGAACAAAAUAGAAAUGGAACAAAGCCCCUCCAUCUUCUUAAUGGAGGAAAUCGAUACAGAUUCUCAAUAAGUAAGCAAAGCAACACUCAACAGCUCGGACUGCAUUGCUAUCCAAAGGGAUCGCAAAUUCUCCAAGUAAAUGUGUACCAUAUAGCACCACCCAGUGGUGGUGGGAGAGGAUGUAACAAGUCAGCUGUGAAGAAGUUGCAAUUUUGCACUGGACAUGGCAUAGUGCAAUUGCUUUAUUGACCAAUGCUAAAGGGAGGCAGUGGGUGUUUGUAAAACAUUUAAAAUCGACCCUUGUACACAACUCAGGUUGAUGAAAACUAUAAAACAAAUCAAAAGCACUGGGUACCAGCUUCCAUUUUAUUUUCUUUACCAACAGCAGGGUGGAUGAACAAUGAAUGGAUGUUAAACCACAUGUGCCAUUUGGUGAUCAAACUUGUUCGCACUUUUUGAGAUCUUCAUUUGUUGGUGAAAUCUUGAUUUGCUGGUGAGAUCUUGAUUUGUUGGUGAGAUCUUCAUUUGCCAGAAGACUUCAACCCCAUAACAGGCUAAAAACAUGGCAAGUGGAGAUGGAGAAAACAGAAAUACACAUGGUUAAUACAAUUAAAAACACCAUUCAAUUAUCCAGGGAUGUACAGCAAUACCAGGGUAUGCAUGAAGGAUAGGUUCCUGAGAGUUUCAUGCAACAACAAUCGACAUUAAAACAAGCUGGAGAGGGUAAAUAAACAUCUACAAGGGCAUUAAACUUCCACAGAAAUUCAGCUGCUACCUGCUUGUCUGUGCUCAACUUCGCCAGUUAUGUAAAUGUUAUCCAGUGCAGUUCUGCAGGACUUAAAUCUACAAACCACCAUAGACUGGCUGCAAACAUCUCCUUGGUAGAUCCCUUGCCUUCCUGCUCUUUUAUGUCAUCAUAUAAACUCAGCUACUUAUCCCUCGCCUUCCGGCUCUGUCAGGCUUAAAGAGAAAGCAUGCAAAUUCAUAUCCUCAAUCCAAAGUCUCUCCAUAUUCUCCAUUAAACUCCUCCGAAAUCUCAAUAAUUUUGUCGCAACCCCGUGAGUCAUGGACAGACAAGAUUCUUUUAUCAUUUUUUCUUUGUUCUUUAAAACUGUCCUUACAGACGGUUCCCUUAAAACAAAUUCACAUCUAACAGCAGCGGCACCAACACCCGACUCCAUCAGCCAAAACACUUUCAAUAUCAGCUGCAGACUGAUGCUCUUUCUUGACACUUUUGGCAUAAUUCCCAAGGCUUUUCGUACAAUUAACAAUAUGACGGCACACAGAGUAGGAAAACAACGCGAGCACCAAGUGGUUGAGCGGAGACAUGCUCAGAUAUGCGCUGAUUGGCUUCCAGCAGUGUCCACACUCGUGGUCGUGUGUAUGGUCGAUACGGUGCAUUUAAACUCGGUGUACCUGGAUGCGUGCAUCUGUCAAUACCACUAAUCAAGCAAUAACGAUAAUCCCUACACAAUCGGCAGUGUAGUAUGCACGUACGCACGCAGAGUAACAAUACAUGCAUAAACGGACACGCAGCAUAUAACGUGCUGCACAUACAUGCAUGAGGAGAGUUUGUUUCCUGAAAUAGCCAUGCCUAAUAUGUACCCCAGACAGUUUGAUCAAAAGGAGGAAGAGAGGAGGGGUAGGGCAAUAUUUUUACCUUGCGCUUGCGAAGCGAAAAGCAGGGUUAAGUGAUCAGUCGAGUAGGUACAACGUAUGUGUAUGCAUUUUGUUAAGAGCAUACAUCGAAACCGGUCAGCAAAGGAAAUUGAAACUUUACCACAUGUGACACGACCAUGUGAUAUAGCGGUCACUCUUUUGAAGUCAACAUAGGCCAAUUUUCUAAGAUCCUCAAUUUUCAUCCAAUUGACUAUACUAGACAUUUGAAGAGGAUUUGCAAAUUUGGACAUUGAAUUCAACCACCAACUAUUUUUGAGGUCAACAUCGGCCAAAAUGUCUCAAAUUGUCAAUUUUCAUCCGAUUGACUUGAAAUUUGAACAGGAUUUUCAUUAAAAUGACCAUCAUGUGUCACGUGGUCUGGCAACCAUAUUGGAUCUAAGGGGAAAUCUUUGAGAAACCGCUUAACCUUUCAAUGCAAAAUUUAUCUAAUUGAUCAACUACCCAUGGAAAAUAUGGCUUGAUAAAGAUGACAUCAUCGGUCAUGUGGUCUGACAGCCAUACUGUCUCAAAGAAAGAAAAAAAAACCUGAAACAAAAGAGUUGGCUCACACCAAAUUGUUCUCAAGAUUGUGCAGGGUACGUAUUCUAUGAAUACUAUUGAGUUUUCUUUUUAUUUUGAUCUUCCUCUGUGUGUUGCAAAUAUUCGGACUUCAGCAUAUAAAAAGGCUGUGAUGAAUAUCCCAUUAACACUCUCCCCCAACCCCUCUUCGCUCCCUGAGUGUAUAGCGAGGCCAGUAUCUAUACACCACCUAAUUUUAUUUUUUUUCCAUUCACAACAACCAUUAAAAACAUUUUUUUUUUUAGCAAUUACGCAAACAUUGGUAUUUCCGUCAGUGAAUCUCCCAACUGUGUCAUGCACAUAUCAUCUGUUAAGAAGCAAGAUAGUCAUGCAUUCAUACAGAUUUGGUGGGAUAAGUACUGUGAAUAUUUGUCUCAAUGGACAGAGUUGGAUGCUGCAUGGUGAAUGCAGUGAGAUAGCCAGGUGUCAUUAGGGCAGUCAUGCCGGUGUUGACUUUUUGAAUAUACCCAGUGGUGCCGGCUAUCACGAUAACUGUUAUCAGUGUUUCACUGAAUUAAAAAAGGGUACAGAGUCACCAGAAAUGUUGCAAUCUAGCGAAGUAAGAUGCUUCAGAACUGUCAGCUGGGUCAGCCACCGACAAACAUAAAUCCUAUCCCAAGAAGAAACUUCGAUAAAGUGUUUUUGCUGUAAGCAAAGUCGUACAUUAUUCCAAGAACAUGCAUAAUUUGUAAUAAGAAACAACGCAUUUAACCCUUUGAACCCGAAUGGCCGAUAAACAGCUCAGAAAGUGCGAGGUAGGCUUUUGCUGUGGACAAAAUAUGGUGGUUCUCCCAUAAUUUCUCGUCCCGUCAUGUCCUGGCGUGUGCGUGCCGGGAGAGGCUCAUUUGAAGAAAAAAAAAAAAGGUGCGAGUGCAAAGGUUUUUGUCAUGCACAUGCUUUGUUACAGACGCCAAUCGCCCCAUCCUUGUACACACGCCAAAGUGCAUGACCUGUGGAAGUAGUAACAUGAGAUUCACAAAAGUUUUUGAAGGUUUCUCGCUAAAAAAAAUCAUUCCAAAAUGAGAUGAAAUGUGAUGUCAGUUGAUGAUGAUUAUGGUAAUGAGAGUGGAUUUGAGGCAGAGAAUUAAUUUUCAAACGGGGAAGUGAAAAUGAUAGUACCGACAAUUCUGGGGGAGUUCCCGGAGGUGUUGAGAGUGGGCAUGGCUGAGGUCGAGGGCGUGGCAGAGGACUUGGAGGGGAUAUACCAAGGCCUGACUCCCCCCUAGGAUUCGUGCAUUGUGCUCGUCCAAGUCAGUCCCUCGGUGUGCAGCAGUUAGAGCAGAAGGUGGUGGGCUCUUAAUAGAGGAGUCUGAAGUAAAGGCCAACGAGGGCGAGUUACUUUGAGCAGCUGUACCAGAAUGACCCACCAGCUGUUGAGUUGGACAUCAUGAGUGUAACUAUCCAUAUUGCUGACCCACCAAUCAACUGUGAUCCAUUUUCGUUUGUGGGAAUACAGGCUGCGAUUAACCAGAUAAAAGAGGGUAAAGCUCCUGGGAUCUGUGGCAACCAUGCUGAACUUCUAAAGGCUUGUG
rnacentral:lncRNA from 1 species